GACGAACGCUGGCGGCGUGCUUAACACAUGCAAGUCGAACGGUGAAGGGACCAGCUUGCUGGUUCUGGAUGAGUGGCGAACGGGUGAGUAACACGUGAGUAACCUGCCCCCUUCUUCUGGAUAACCGCAUGAAAGUGUGGCUAAUACGGGAUAUUCUGGGUCUGUCGCAUGGCGGGCUCGGGAAAGAUAUUGCUUCGGUGGGGGAUGGGCUCGCGGCCUAUCAGCUUGUUGGUGGGGUGAUGGCCUACCAAGGCGGUGACGGGUAGCCGGCCUGAGAGGGUGGACGGUCACACUGGGACUGAGACACGGCCCAGACUCCUACGGGAGGCAGCAGUGGGGAAUAUUGCACAAGGGGCGCAAGCCUGAUGCAGCGACGCCGCGUGAGGGAUGGAGGCCUUCGGGUUGUAAACCUCUUUCGCCAGUGAAGCAGGCCUGCUCCUUGUGGGUGGGUUGACGGUAGCUGGAUAAGAAGCGCCGGCUAACUACGUG
rnacentral:rRNA from 1 species